AGGGAUAUCCAUUGUUUUAACUUGGCACUCCUGGCUAAGCAAGCAUGGAGUCUUAUUGAUAACGCAGACUCUUUGUGUGCAACGGUUCUUAAGGCUAAAUAUUUUCUAGAUGGUGAGUUGAUCAAUGCCAAACUGAAGAAAGGUUCAUCUUUUACAUGGCAAAGUAUAAUGGCAGGCGUGAAUACUCUAAAGCAGGGAUGCAUUUGGAGAGUAGGGGAUGGACGGAAAAUAAAUAUCUGGAAUGAUGCAUGGCUACAAGGAACUCAAAAUAGGAAGGUAAUAACCCCACGAGGCAACCAGAUCAUAUCUAAAGUUCAUGAUUUAAUUGAUCCCGGUACAGGCCAAUGGGAUGAGGAGCUUGUAAGACAAACGUUCUGGCAUGUUGAUUGCAACUGAAUAUUAGCUAUACCAUUACCAAACUACGACAUGGAGGAUUUCCUAGCAUGGGGAAUGUCAAAGAAUUUCCAGUUCUUUGUCAAAUCGGCGUACUAUGUGGAAUGGGAUCACAAGUUUGGAAACAAUCUCUGUUGGUCAAAUGGCCAAGGUGCACCACAAAACGUGAGUGUGGAAGAAAGUUUGGGAACUAGACUGCCUGGCAAAAGUCAAAAUUUUCACUUGGAAAGCGCUGCAUGGUACCCUAGCAUGUGGUGUCAAUUUGGCCCAGAGACAUAUCAAGGUGUCGCCGCAAUGCCCCUGUUGCAAGAGAGGGGCCAACACUACGGCUCAUGUGUUGUUUCAAUGCCCUGCCGCAAUGAAUGUUUGGAAAGAGCUUGCUCUGGAGAAACUAAUUCAAAAGGCGUGUCUCAUUGA
rnacentral:rRNA from 1 species